AUAAGGAAAGUAAAGAAGGGCGCAUGGCGGAUGCCUUGGCUCUCGGAGGCGAUGAAGGACGUGAUAAGCUGCGAUAAGCUUUGGGGAGGUGCAAAUAACCUUUGAUCCAGAGAUUUCCGAAUGGGACAACCCAAUACCUUGAAGAGGUAUUAUCCAACGUUGUUGGAGGCUAACGCAGGGAACUGAAACAUCUUAGUACCUGCAGGAAAAGAAAAUAAACAAUGAUUCCCCCAGUAGUGGCGAGCGAACGGGGAACAGCCCAAACCAUCCAUGUUACGGCAUGGGUGGGGUUGUAGGACUACGCCGUUGCAUGAAGACAUCAGAGAAGAACUUUCUGGAAAGAAAGACCAUAGAGCAUGACAGUUGCGUAUUCGAAUGUUGUCGAAGCAUAGUAGUAUCCUGAGUAGCGCGGAGCACGAGGAAUUCUGCGUGAAUCUGCCGGGACCAUCCGGUAAGGCUAAAUACUCCCGAGAGACCGAUAGCGAACCAGUACCGUGAGGGAAAGGUGAAAAGCACUUCGAACAGAAGAGUGAAAUAGUUCCUGAAACCGUGCGCCUACAAGCGGUCGGAGCUCGUUAAUGAGUGACGGCGUGCCUUUUGCAUAAUGAACCUACGAGUUGCCUUUGCCGGCAAGGUUAAGUGUGACGACACACGUAUCCGAAGCGAAAGCGAGUCUGAAUAGGGCGUAUAGUCGGCAGUGGCAGACGCGAAACCAAGUGAUCUACCCUUGGCCAGGUUGAAGGCUGGGUAACACCAGCUGGAGGACCGCACCAAUAAGCGUUGAAAAGCUUCUGGAUGAGCUGAGGGUAGGGGUGAAAGGCUAAUCAAACUUGGAGAUAGCUCGUACUCCCCGAAAUGCAUUUAGGUGCAGCCUUGCGGGUUACUGAUGUGAGGUAGAGCGACUGAUAAGAUGCGAGGGCUUCACCGCCUAUCAAGUCUUGACAAACUCCGAAUGCGCAUCAGUUCUACCGCAGGAGUGAGGGCAUGGGUGCUAAGGUCCGUGCCCGAGAGGAGAAGAAUCCGGACCACCUGCUAAGGUCCCGAAAUGACAGCUAAGUUAAACUAACGAAGUCUGACUGCUAAGACAGCUAGGAUGUUGGCUUGGAAGCAGCCAUUCAUUUAAAGAGUGCGUAACAGCUCACUAGUCGAGGAGUCGGGCGUGGAUAAUAAUCGGGUAUUAAGUUGUCUACCGAAGCAGUGGGAUCAUUUAUAUGAUCGGUAGGGGAGCAUUCCAGUCAGCGUCGAAGGCGUACCGUGAGGUAUUCUGGAGCGUCUGGAAAAGCAAAUGUAGGUAUAAGUAACGAUAAAGGGGGCGGGAAACCCCCUCGCCGAAAGACUAAGGUUUCCUGAUCAACGCUAAUCGGAUCAGGGUCAGUCGGGUCCUAAGGCUCAGCCGAACGGCGAUGCCGAUGGCAGAAACGGUUAAUAUUCCGUUACUACCUUCAGGAGUGACGUGGAGACGCAGUAGUGACAGUGCCGCCAUCUGACGGAAUAGAUGGUUGAAGGGUGUAGGAGUCGAUCAUGGCAGGCAAAUCCACCAUGAGAUCCGAACCUGACAGUAUGCCGCGUCCUUCGGGACAAGGCAAUAGUGCGCGUAAGCAUGCUGCCGAGAAAAUCCGCUAAACUUAAUCCUGCAGGUACCCGUACCGCAAACGGACACACGUAGUCGGGAUGAAUAUUCUAAGGCGCUUGAGUGAUUCACGGUUAAGGAACUAGGCAAACUGACCCUGUAACUUCGGGAUAAAGGGUCCCUACCCUUUUAUGGGAGGGCGCAGAGAAUCGGUCCAGGCAACUGUUUAACAAAAACACAGGGCUGUGCCAAAUCGAAAGAUCCAGUAUACAGCCUGACACCUGCCCGGUGCUGGAAGGUUAAGAGGAGAUGUCAUCGAUAAGAGAAGCGUUGAAUUGAAGCCCCAGUAAACGGCGGCCGUAACUAUAACGGUCCUAAGGUAGCGAAAUUCCUUGUCGGGUAAGUUCCGACCUGCACGAAUGGUGUAAUGAUCUGGACGCUGUCUCAACCGUGAGCUCAGUGAAAUUGUAGUAUCGGUGAAGAUGCCGAUUACCCGCGAUGGGACGAAAAGACCCCGUGAACCUUUACUAUAGCUUAUCAUUGAAUCUGGGCACGUGAUGUGUAGGAUAGGUCGGAGGCUUUGAAGCAGGUACGCCAGUAUUUGUGGAGCCGCUGUUGAAAUACGACCCUUUAUUUGUUUGGAUUCUAACCCGUGGAACGGGGACAUUGAUUGGUGGGUAGUUUGACUGGGGUGGUCGCCUCCAAAAGCGUAACGGAGGCUUCUAAAGGUGCCCUCCGGCCGAUUGGUAACCGGCCUUAGAGUGUAAUGGCAUAAGGGCGCUUGACUGGGAGACUAACAAGUCGAUCAGGUAGGAAACUAGAGCAUAGUGAUCCGGUGUUUCCGUAUGGAAGGGACAUCGCUCAAAGGAUAAAAGGUACUCCGGGGAUAACAGGCUGAUCCCUCCCAAGAGCUCAUAUCGACGGAGUGGUUUGGCACCUCGAUGUCGGCUCGUCACAUCCUGGGGCUGGAGAAGGUCCCAAGGGUUGGGCUGUUCGCCCAUUAAAGUGGCACGCGAGCUGGGUUCAGAACGUCGUGAGACAGUUCGGUCUCUAUCUAUCGUGGGCGUAUGAAAUUUGCGUGGCUCUGACACUAGUACGAGAGGACCGUGUUGGACAGACCUCUGGUUUGCCGGUUGUGCCGCCAGGUGCAUUGCCGGGUAUCUAAGUCUGGAUCGGAUAAGUGCUGAAAGCAUCUAAGUACGAAGCCGGCCACAAGAUUAGAUUUCUCAGGGUCGUUGUAGACUACGACGUUGAUAGGAUGCAGGUGUAAAG
rnacentral:rRNA from 1 species